rnacentral:sRNA from 1 species
CAGUUUGAGGAGCUGCUGCAGAACGGGAGCCGCCACUUCGAGGACUGGGGGCUGGUGAGGGUCAGCACUAGUGGUGAGAAUUCUGGAGAACAUUUUCUUUACUCAGAAACUUAAAAUCAUGGACUCUUGGGGAGAAAGGAAUGAGAAAAGGCAGCAUGCGGAAUUACCAGUUUGUUAUUUGGUUCCUAUCUGGAUUUAAAACCGAAGAUCCCAAACUCAGAUUGAUCUGGAGCCAGAAGGAAGAGUGUAUGUGAUCAUCGAUCUCUCAGGGUCGUCAGGUGAAGCCCCUAAAGACAAUGAAGAGCGUGUGUUCAGGGAACGCAUGCGGCCGAGGAAGCGGCAGGGGGCCGUCAGGCGCAGGGUCCAUCAGGUCAACGGCCACAAGUUCAUGGCCACCUAUCUUCGGCAGCCCACCUACUGCUCCCAUUGCAGAGACUUCAUCUGGGGUGUCAUAGGAAAGCAGGGAUACCAGUGUCAAGUCUGCACCUGCGUGGUCCACAAGCGGUGCCAUGAGCUCAUAAUCACAAAGUGUGCUGGGUUAAAGAAGCAGGAGACCCCCGACCAGGUGGGCUCCCAGCGGUU